rnacentral:piRNA from 1 species
UGUUUUCGGACUAGUUUGAAGACCAUGGAUGU